rnacentral:rRNA from 1 species
GACUACACAUGCAGUCGAGCGGUAGCACAGAGAGCUUGCUCUCGGGUGACGAGCGGCGGACGGGUGAGUAAUGUCUGGGAAACUGCCUGAUGGAGGGGGAUAACUACUGGAAACGGUAGCUAAUACCGCAUAACGUCGCAAGACCAAAGUGGGGGACCUUCGGGCCUCAUGCCAUCAGAUGUGCCCAGAUGGGAUUAGCUAGUAGGUGGGGUAACGGCUCACCUAGGCGACGAUCCCUAGCUGGUCUGAGAGGAUGACCAGCCACACUGGAACUGAGACACGGUCCAGACUCCUACGGGAGGCAGCAGUGGGGAAUAUUGCACAAUGGGCGCAAGCCUGAUGCAGCCAUGCCGCGUGUGUGAAGAAGGCCUUCGGGUUGUAAAGCACUUUCAGCGGGGAGGAAGGCGUUAAGGUUAAUAACCUUGUCGAUUGACGUUACCCGCAGAAGAAGCACCGGCUAACUCCGUGCCAGCAGCCGCGGUAAUACGGAGGGUGCAAGCGUUAAUCGGAAUUACUGGGCGUAAAGCGCACGCAGGCGGUCUGUCAAGUCGGAUGUGAAAUCCCCGGGCUCAACCUGGGAACUGCAUUCGAAACUGGCAGGCUAGAGUCUUGUAGAGGGGGGUAGAAUUCCAGGUGUAGCGGUGAAAUGCGUAGAGAUCUGGAGGAAUACCGGUGGCGAAGGCGGCCCCCUGGACAAAGACUGACGCUCAGGUGCGAAAGCGUGGGGAGCAAACAGGAUUAGAUACCCUGGUAGUCCACGCCGUAAACGAUGUCGAUUUGGAGGUUGUGCCCUUGAGGCGUGGCUUCCGGAGCUAACGCGUUAAAUCGACCGCCUGGGGAGUACGGCCGCAAGGUUAAAACUCAAAUGAAUUGACGGGGGCCCGCACAAGCGGUGGAGCAUGUGGUUUAAUUCGAUGCAACGCGAAGAACCUUACCUGGUCUUGACAUCCACAGAACUUUCCAGAGAUGGAUUGGUGCCUUCGGGAACUGUGAGACAGGUGCUGCAUGGCUGUCGUCAGCUCGUGUUGUGAAAUGUUGGGUUAAGUCCCGCAACGAGCGCAACCCUUAUCCUUUGUUGCCAGCGGUUCGGCCGGGAACUCAAAGGAGACUGCCAGUGAUAAACUGGAGGAAGGUGGGGAUGACGUCAAGUCAUCAUGGCCCUUACGACCAGGGCUACACACGUGCUACAAUGGCAUAUACAAAGAGAAGCGACCUCGCGAGAGCAAGCGGACCUCAUAAAGUAUGUCGUAGUCCGGAUUGGAGUCUGCAACUCGACUCCAUGAAGUCGGAAUCGCUAGUAAUCGUAGAUCAGAAUGCUACGGUGAAUACGUUCCCGGGCCUUGUACACACCGCCCGUCACACCAUGGGAGUGGGUUGCAAAAGAAGUAGGUAGCUUAACC